rnacentral:lncRNA from 1 species
CAAAGUUGUUCAAUCUGACGUCUCUCGUGAAUACGUCUGGCGUGUAAUGAUGGCAAGGCGCAGCAGGGUCUUAAAGUCUUCCGGUCAGCAGCAAACCUGCUAUCUGCGGUCUCGCCUUCUGACGCGUGCUGCUUCCCCUCCUCUCUCCUCGUCCGCUCAGGUGUCUGUGGACCUGCCCGACCAGAAGGGCCGCCUGGAGAUCCUGAAGGUGCACGCGCGCAACAAGAAGGUGGCUGAGGACGUGGACCUGCAGGAGGUGGCCAUGCGCACCCCCGGUUUCGCCGGUGCCAACCUGAUGAACCUGCUCAACGAGGCGGCCAUCCUGGCGGGCCGCCGCGGCCUCAAGGUGAGCGCGAGGGCAGCAGCAGCAGCGGGCUGCAGCGGGCAAGGUGGCGGGGGUCCCAGGGCGGCUGAAAACUAGAGCGUUCUUGGGCAAAUUAGUGGCGAGAUGCGUAUCAAGGAUCGACGGUCGGCUGGAAAGUGUUAAAUCUGCGGCCUUCCUGUACAAGAGUGCGCUGAACCGAUCUUCUCUUCCCUCCCAUGCUUACCCGCCACCCGCAGGCGAUCACCAACAAGGAGAUCGACGACGCCAUUGACCGCAUCGUGGCUGGCCUGGAGGGCAAGCCGCUGGUGGACGGCAAGGCCAAGGCGCUGGUGGCCUACCACGAGGUCGGCCACGCCAUCUGCGGCACCCUGCAGCCCGGCCACGACCCCGUGCAGAAGGUGACUCUGGUGCCCCGCGGCCAGGCGCGCGGCCUCACCUGGUUCAUCCCUGGUGAGGACCCCACCCUGGUGUCCAAGAGCCAGAUCUUCGCGCGCAUCGUUGGCGCGCUGGGCGGCCGCGCCGCCGAGGAGCUGGUGUUUGGCGAGGACGAGGUGACGUCGGGCGCCGCCAGCGACCUGCAGCAGGUGUCUGGCAUGGCCCGCCAGAUGGUGAUCAACUACGGCAUGUCCAACAUCGGCCCCUGGAGCCUGAUGGACCCCUCGGCCAUGUCGGGC